GAUGAAGAACGUAGCGAAAUGCGAUAAGUAAUGUGAAUUACAGAAUUCAGUGAAUCAUCGAAUCUUUGAACGCACCUUGCGCCUUUUGGUAUUCCGAAAGGCACACCUGUUUGAGCGUCAUGAAUACCUCAAUCUCCAUCUUUUCUUCGGAUUGAUGGGUGACUUGGAUGUUGAGCCCUGCUGGUAUGCUAUAUCAGCUGGCUUUAAACUUAUUAGCCGGCUCUGUACUGGAUCGGUUUGACUCGACGUGAUAAUAUUAUCGUUGAGGAUGCAUGUCUCAUGCAGCCGGAAAGUAUCAAAGCAGCUUCUAGCUUGCCUUUAGUGCACUUUUACAUUUUAGACCUCAGAUCAGGUGGGACUACCCGCUGAACUUAAGCAUAUCAAUAAGCGGAGGA
rnacentral:misc_RNA from 1 species